rnacentral:rRNA from 1 species
UACAGAGGUCCCAAGCGUUGUUCGGAUUCACUGGGCGUAAAGGGUACGUAGGUGGUGGAUUAAGUCAGGUGUGAAAUCUCCGGGCUCAACCCGGAGGGUGCGCCCGAAACUGGUCCGCUAGAGGGUGGGAGGGGAGACUGGAAUUCUCGGUGUAGCAGUGAAAUGCGUAGAUAUCGAGAGGAACACCGGUGGCGAAGGCGAGUCUCUGGACCACUCCUGACACUGAGGUUACGAAAGCCGGGGGAGCAAACAGG